rnacentral:rRNA from 1 species
CAGUCGCCGCGGGAAUACAGAGGGUGCGAGCGUUAAUCGGAUUUACUGGGCGUAAAGCGUGCGUAGGCGGCUUCUUAAGUCGGAUGUGAAAUCCCUGAGCUUAACUUAGGAAUUGCAUUCGAUACUGGGAAGCUAGAGUAUGGGAGAGGAUGGUAGAAUUCAGGUGUAGCGGUGAAAUGCGUAGAGAUCUGGAGGAAUACCGAUGGCGAAGGCAGCCAUCUGGCCUAAUACUGACGCUGAGGUACGAAAGCAUGGGGAGCAAACAGGAUUAGAUACCCGCGUAGUCCCUGUCUCUUAUACA